rnacentral:rRNA from 1 species
AUUGAACGCUGGCGGCAGGCCUAACACAUGCAAGUCGAGCGGAUGAAGGGAGCUUGCUCCUGUAUUCAGCGGCGGACGGGUGAGUAAUGCCUAGGAAUCUGCCUGGUAGUGGGGGAUAACGUCCGGAAACGGGCGCUAAUACCGCAUACGUUCUGAGGGAGAAAGUGGGGGAUCUUCGGACCUCACGCUAUCAGAUGAGCCUAGGUCGGAUUAGCUAGUUGGUGGGGUAAAGGCUUACCAAGGCGACGAUCCGUAACUGGUCUGAGAGGAUGAUCAGUCACACUGGAACUGAGACACGGUCCAGACUCCUACGGGAGGCAGCAGUGGGGAAUAUUGGACAAAGGGCGAAAGCCUGAUCCAGCCAUGCCGCGUGUGUGAAGAAGGUCUUCGGAUUGUAAAGCACUUUAAGUUGGGAGGAAGGGCAGUAAGUUAAUACCUUGCUGUUUUGACGUUACCAACAGAAUAAGCACCGGCUAACUUCGUG